UUGUGUUUUUAGUAGAGACAGGGCUUCACUGUGUUAGCCAGGAUGGUCUCGAUCUCCUGACCUCAUGAUCUGCCUGCCUGGGCCUCCUAAAGUGCUGGGAUUACAGGCGUGAGCCACCUCGCCCAGGCGAAGAGAAACAUUUUUACAGUCCAGAAGUCUUUUAUUUUUUUAACAAUUAUUUUGCCAUGAAUUCAUAGGGAAUAGAUUCCAGCAGCUCAGGCUCCUUCCCAUUGGUUUUCACAAACUGUGCUUCCCUGGGUGGAGCAGGUGGCACUUAAGUUGAACCCAGGUACCUUUCUCUUUGGCUUCUUUCUUUUUCUGGUCAUUUUCCUUCAUGCGUUUCAGGAAGCUAUCUCGGCUCUUAGUAAGCUUAAUGUGCUCGAUACUCACAUUAAUUCUCUUGGCAAGAAUCAGGCCCUUGUUGGUAUACAACAGUGCCAACAGUGUGCUGGGUAACAUUGUAGACUCUUCUAGUUUUGCCAUGAUAACACUUGUGGGGCAUUCCUUUUGGGACAGUACCCAUUCUCUUGAUGUCUACAAUAUCACCUUUUUUUUUUUUCGAGACAGGAGAGAGAGUCUUACUCUGUCGUCCAGGCCAUAGUGCCGUGGAGCGAUCUCGGCUCACUGCAACCUCCGCCUCCUGGGUUCAAGCAAUUCUCCUGCCUCAGCCUCCUGAGUAGCUGGGACUACAGGCGCGCCCUGCCAUGCCUGGCUAAUUUUUUGUAUUUUUAGUAGAGAUGGGGUUUCACUGUGUUGCCCAUGCUGGCUUUGAACUCCUGAGCCCAGGCAAUCUGUCCACCUCGGCCUCCCAAAGUGCUAGAAUUACAGGUGUGAGCCACGAGCCUGGCCUCAGCUUUCUUAUAGAUUCAUAUAUAUGUGGCCAAAGGAACAACUCCAUGUUUUCUAAAAGGCCUAGAGAACAUCUAUUGGGUGCCUCUCCUCUUUCCCUUUGUGUUUGUCAUUUUGGCGAAUUACUGGAAGAUGCCGGUUCUGGCUGAAAGCAAAAGAGUAUAUAAUUUCUAGCAGUAGUUAGGGCAUAGAAGAGGUGAGAUCUUCACAAAAGAAAUUGCCAUCAUUCUCCUACUCUAUGCCUGUCUGAAUUCAGAACAUUCCAACAAAGGUCAGAUACUUUCUCCCUUAACAGGAUUGACUCUCAUUCUGUUCCCCAAGUCUGAUGUCAAGGUGACGGACUUUACAGUUUGCGAAUUAGGGAAGCAACAGUAGGUGAUGAUGGCCCCCAUUACUGGUAGCCAUGUAUAUGGUUAGGCACCAGAUUCCUGACGAAUGGUUUUUGUCAGGAAUUUCUCCUCCUUUCUACAGUGCAGCCUGUCCCCCACCCCUACCCAAUCCUCCAGACUGUUUCUGUGAGCUUGUCCAGUGAAAGCUGAACAUUGAUCUCCUAACCCCAGGGAUCCCAUCUGAUUAUUCGGCAGAGUUGUUUCCUUAUUUUCUUCCCCUUGUACCCCCAUGGGAUCCCCACUCUUUGGCAUCUCCAUUGCUGACUAGGCUUUUCAUAAUCAAAGGGAAAUGAAUAUUUCCUAAAUAUCCAUCAACCCAAAGCUUAGUAGAAACUUUGAAAGUUCAUUUUUCACUGAUAACAGAAAACAUAGGAGGAGGGGGAGAGGACAUAUGUUACUAUUAUUUGUCUUUCCAAUGCAAGCUGCAUGGUCACAUGUAUUCUAUUUUUGUGGCAGUAUAGUAGCGCCCUGUUAUCCAUGGGGGAUAUCUUCCAAGACCCCUAGAGGAUGCUUGAAACCAUGGAGCACCAAACUCUAUACCAUGGGCUGAGCUCAGUGGCUCACACUUGUAAUCCCAGCACUUUGGGAGGGUGAGGCAGGUGGAUCACCUGAAGGCAGGAGUUCAAGACCAGCCUGGGCAACAUGGUGAAACUCCAUCUCUACUAAAAAUACAAAGUUAACCGGGUGUGGUAGCACGUGCCUAUAAUCCCAGCUACUUGGGAGGCUAAGGCAGGAUAAUUGCUUGAACCCGGAAGGCGGACGUUGCAGUGAGCCGAGAUCGCGCCGCUGCACUUCCAGCCUGGGUGAUAGAGUGAGACUCCAUCUCAAAAACCAAAACAACAACAACAAAACCCCCAAAACUCUGUACUGUGUAUAUUAUGUUUUUUUCUGAUCUGAUAACCAAGAUGGCUGCCAAGUGACUAACAGGCAGGUAACAUACACAGAGUGGAUAUGCUGGACAAAGGGAUGGCAUGGUAUGGUGCAAGAUUUCAGCAUGUUUGUCAGAAUGGUGCAACACUUAAAAUGUAUUCAUUGUUUCUGGGAUUUUCCAUUUAAUAUUUUCAGACCACAGUUGACCAUGAGUAACUGAAACUGCAGAAAACAAAACCUCAAAUAAGGUGUCUGGAGUAGGUAAUAACCAGAUCCUCUGUCAUGUGUAUCAAGCCAAUCUGCCAAGAAAAAAAAAAUCCACUAAUCCACAGAGCAAAGCACAGAUGAGGAUGGACAAUGAACACCCUGCCUGCAGUCCACAUAUUCCCGAGGGCCAGGUAUGCUUCUUUCUACCGUCAUUUGAUUAUGUGAAACAAAUUCACAACUAAUAAAAGUCCUAUUUUUGAUAGGAAAUGUGCAUUGUUAUGGUAAUGGGUGGAAACUAACACAGGAAGGGAUUGUGAGGAAUUGUGCAGUGUGGAUAGGCAUCUAGUGAAUGUCGACAUUUACCAGCAUCAUUUAUCCCUUAUAACCAAACUAACAUUGGCUUGACACACCAGUACUGGCGUGCAUCAAAACAUCAAUAGAAGUCUGAUAUUCUUCAAGCCAGGUGGAUUGUUCUUUUCAUAUUGGUGCCUCAGUUGCUCUAGAGAGGCCAUGGAUUGGAUGGGGACAAGUCUUUUUAAACAAGAACUGUCUUGGUAGAAAGAUUUGAUUCAAGAAUGAUUUCUAUGGAGUUUAACCAUAUGCCUCAAAAGUUGGAAUUAGGCUGUUCAUUUUUUAAGAUAAUAAGUAAAUAAUAAAAGGAAAGAGAAGAUAUGCCUAUUUCUUGAAAGAAAAGUGAAUAAAAAUACUCAUCAGUGAUUAUUUUAGAUAAUGAAUACUAAAUUGACAAUUGUACAUUUUUAUAUUUAAGUGAAGUGAUUGUGAUUAAAUGAAUCCCUUUUUCUGUGACAAGAAUAAGAGAUGAUGAUUGAAAGGUGACAUUCAAAUAAUCAUUACAAAAAGACGGAGUGACAGCUAUGAUUCUUCUUAAUUGAAUACAAAUUUAAAUUUCUACUAUUUUAAGUUAUUAGCAAUGCACUUUGAUGUGGCAAAUAUGUUGAACAAAUUGUAACGGUGGUUAGACAAUUUUUCAUUAAAGCAUUUCAACAGAGAAUGGAGAAGGAGAUGUACUUUAUUUAUAUAUUCACAUUUUCUGUUAUUAGGCAACUGUACAGGGAUUCUUGCCAUCUUGUUGGUGCCCGUGUAGAUGUGCUUAGGAUAGGAUGCCCAGUGGGCAUGCGCCCCAGUCUCUGGGAGCCAAUGUGCUGAUUGUAAGCAUAAAACAUGCUUCUUAUAUACACAAUACAUAUACAAAAUACAACAGGAGUAGUUGGAUAAGUAGAAAUGAGGACAAAAUGGUAGAAAAUGAGGUGCAUUUAUGUAUUGGUGCAAAAGUAAUUGUGGUUUUUUGCCAUUACUUUCAAUGGAAAAAAAUCACAAUAACUUUUGCACCAACCUAAUAGAAGGGUGGCUGAGAUGAGCUAAGCUAACCAGUGAAGCACUCUGGAGAAAAUGGCCUUGAACCAGAUGACGGGGAGAAGACAGGAACAAGUCGCAAGCAGCUUAAUUUUCAAGAUCAGUCAUAAGAAAAUAUGCAUUCAGACAUUCAUAGGUAUAUUCCGUUUUCUUAAUUUGCAGAAAACAUUAGCUCUUUGAUUAAUGAAUGGUAGAUGAACUAAUUUAAAUGAAAUCUAAAGCAAAGGCAGACGUAUUUCAAUUUCUUAGACUAAAUGUGAAAUAUAUUAAUAUAAAACAGGAAGGAUCGGCGAAGAAGUUUAUUUUUACAGGCGUAAGGAUGAAGAGGUGAAGCCUGGGGUCUUUGAAUUUCAGCUUUGCAUUUCAGCUUUGUUGUUUUCUAGCUUAUGACCAUGAGCAAAUUGCUCAACCUCUCUGUGCCGUUUUUCUUGUGAAACUGUAAAAAUAACAGAUUUUGCCAUAGGGUUUUAGGGAAGGUUGAUUGAGAUCACUUCUUCAUUCCACAAAUAUGUUUUGGGCUCCUAUUAUGUGCCAGGUGUUGUACUAGGAAUGGGAGAGAAAGAAGUUGAGCAGAACAGACAAAGCCCUUUCCCUAAAGGUGCUUCCAUUCUACUAGAAUUGCUAGUCAGAAAAGAAAUGCACAACUAAAAUAUCAGAUAGAGGUAAGCACUCUGUAGAAGAUUAAGUGGAGUGAUAUGAUAAAGGGUGACUGGAUAGCAACUUACAGGUUAGGGUAGGCCUUUUUCACCUCCCAACGUCACAUUGAAAUCAGCCCUGAGAAAAUAAGGAGGGGUAGCCCUGGCAGGGAGAAGAGUUGGUGCUGAGGUCCUGGGGCGGGAAUCAGCUCAAGGUAUUUGAAGAAAAUAAAUAAGGUCAUUGCAGCUGAGGUUAAUGGGCAAGAGGCAGAGUGGUAGCGGAUGAAAUUAGAUCAUGUAGGGCUUUGAAAACAAGGAUAAGGAAGUGUGUUUUGUACUAAGUGUGAUGCAAAGCCCCUAAAAAAUUUUAAAGUAGGGAGUGGCGUGACUUCAUAACCGAUGUAAGGAGCUCAUUGCCAGUCCUUGCACAAGAGAAACACCCAAGUGUAUGUUAGCUGUUGCCAUUUCAUUUAAUCCUCACACCAGCCCUAUGUGAUGGUUACUAUGAAAGGAAAUUAUCCCAAACCGGAGCUGGGGCAGAACUUUGUAGGCUAAUAGGAUUUUCAGCCUCUUUGGGAAGGAUCUAGCAUUCCUGAUAAAGCCCUGUAGUAUUUUUCUGAUAGUUUUUUUUUUUUUUUUUUUGAGAUGGAAUCUCGUACUGUCGCCUGGGCUGGAGCGCAGUGGCACCAGCUCGCUCACUGCAACCUCUGCCUCCCAGGUUCAAGCGAUUCUCCUGCCUCAGCCUUCCAAGUAGCUGGGAUUACAGGUACCUGCCACCACGCCCAGCUAAUUUUUUGUAUUUUUAGUAGAGAAGGGGUUUCGCCAUGUUGGCCAGGCUGGUCUCGAACUCCUGACCUCAUGAUUCGCCCACCUCGUUCUCCCAAAGUUCUGGGAUUACAGGCGUGAGCCACUGCGCCUGGCCUUUCUGAUAGAUUUUAAUGAGAGUUAGAGUGCUUCUGGGAAGCUAGAUUGGCACCACUCUGCUCUUAUUUUUUAGAUGUGUUCAGUAACCUUUAAUCAGACAUUUAAGGCCACAACACUCUUUAAGCCUUAUGCUGUCCUAAUAGUCUUUAAACCAGAUAUUCCUCUUUUCAAAUGCUAGUUGAAUAGUAUUUAUUAAGUCAUUUUUUCCUCCCAAAAGUAAAUUUUUGAACUAGUUUUUUUUUGAAGUCUCUUUCCUUCCACCAAGUUUGAAAUAAAACGCUUGUCAAUGUUCCAUUAAUUUAUCUGAGAAACCGCUUUGACAGUAUUAUUAAUAUCACUAUUUUACAGACAAGAAAACCAUAGCCUGUGCAUUUAAGCAGUCCAUCGUACUUUCCCCCAGGAAGAGCAAAUUAACUCAGCAUUCUAGGAAGCAACAAAGCAAAUCUGGACCCGAGAGGUCUCAGUCUCCAGUAAAAAAAAGAAGCACUCAUUUCUUUUACUGGAAUCCCAUUAUUAUCUGUUUUAUUUCAUAUUAAUUUGUAAAGACUGGUAGUCUGUGAUUCACUGGGGCCUUCUUUUUGCCCCCAAGAUAUAUGUGUGCAGUUCACUCUCACUCUGCUUUCUAACUUUUAAAAGUUCUAAUAUGCUCUUUUAGUAACUGAACCCAAUCUUGACUUGGGUGAAACUUUUCUCCAGUUUAUCAAGAGCCAUUUAAUCUAUUUUUAUAGUCUAGAGUGCCACUUCCUUGGAUCUUCAGCCUACCAAGGCUGGAGCUUUAAUUCAUUAGUGUAUAUGGCUUAUGGCAAUCAACUCAACCAGAUUGUGUGGGUCUGCUGAGCUGAAGUAAAUUACUCAUGGUUCUUGUGAGAAGAACCUUGAAUGAGAUCACUGAGGGAUGCUAAAACAAUCUGGAUACUUUUGGACUGGAGGAUGGGGGAUCCCUUUUCUAACUAACAAGCAUUAUAUUCUUAGAAUGAAAUCAAUUCCAUGGUGUACUGGAGUCAGUUCAAUCAAUUCCUGUUACAUUUUCAGGAAAUUUGUGAAAUAGUUCACGACAACUUUGUAGCUUUAAAAUGGCCAUUGUAGCUGUAUUUAUGCUACAGAAACUGGCAAAUGCCACAGAUCAGGGCUUUCUUUCCCCAUAGAGUCAAUUUUUAAACACUUAGCAAUGUUACCCAAACAAAACCAGGGUUAAUUUUCCUGGCAAGCAACCAACAACUCUCCACGAGAACACAGGUUUCGAUCCAUAGGAGUGUUAUUACUCAUCACAAGUAAGGAGAGCACUGGGAGUGUUCUCCAAAGCAGUGUCUCCCUGAGGGAAAGUGACAGGAGCGUUUUAUGGGGCGAUGGAGGGGGAGAGAGUGCGUCAUCUCAUGCAGGGAAGGGGUCCCAGUGGCGCAGAUGCAGUGAGUCAUCAUGCCAGCACAUAGGUCAUCUGCUUUAUAGCUCCUUCUGGGUGGGAGACAUUAGCAUGGUAAUGAGGAAAGUUCACUUGGGUUCAUCUGUAAGUUGCUAGGGUCUGUCAGAAACUGGUUUCAACUGACUAGGGGACUGCAUUCCACACAGGGCCUGAAACAAAUAGGCUGUUAAGAGAGGGGGCUGUAAAGCAGGUGCUUUGGUAAAGCCGGUUGAGUUCCUAUAGUCUCUGGAGACCUUCUCAAUCUGCUUGUAGCAGUACACCAGUGCGAGUGCCUUGCAGGGUCUCCUUGUUUUUUUUCCUAGUUAUAGGACAAGAAGAAGAUAAGGAAAGAGGGGAGGCUGCCAAUAGGCUUUUUUUUUGGCUUCUUGCCUGCCUUUUUACUGCCAUCAGGAACUGCCAGAAGUUCUGUAGUCAAAUAGACCCCAUGCUCCUAGUAACAAAUGAGGUUUGCUAUCAUUUUUCCCUCUAGGGUUGAAUACCAGCUGCAUAACUACUUGCUUUGGGACUUGGGCUGAUCAGUUUACCUACAUCUCUAGGGCUCAGUUUCAUCAUCAUUACAAUAAGAAUAAUACCACCAAACUCAUUGUGUAUAGAUGUAUCUGUGUGUGGGUGGCGGGGUCGGGGGUGUUGGGGAUGGGAUGGGGUGGUAAAUGAUAUGGUUCCCAUUAAAGUCUUUGCUGAAGACUUGGUGCAUUGGCUCUCCAUAAAUAAUAGCUCUGAUUAUAUUAUUCAGUAAGUUCUCACACGCACUCAGAGGUAAUAAAAGAAAAACUUUAUCUGAAUUAAAUUUAAAGGAGUUUAAUUGAGCAAUGAACAACUUGCAAAUCGGGCAGCCUUCCCAGCCAGAGUAGGCUCGGAGACUCCAGCACAGCCACGUGGUGGAAAAAGAUUUAUGGACAGAAAAAAGGAAAGUGAUGCCCAGAAAAUGGAAGUGAGGUGCAGAAAACAGAAGUGAGUUACAGAAUUGGUUUGGCUACAGCUUGGUGUUUGCUUUAUUUGAACAUGGUUUGAACAAUUGUACAUUUGCUUGACCAAAACUCGUGACUGGCACAAGCGUAGGUUAUGGUCGUUUACACCUCCACUUGUUAUAGUUCAUGAUGUACAGAGAAAUCCUUAGGCUGAACUUAAAAUAUGUAAGGAGGCAGCUUUAUGCUAAACUUGAUUUAACAGAGGGCACUUGUAAACUGCUAUUUCAUAAAGGCCUUUCUGGUAAUGUCUGAUGCCUCUGAACCAGUCUGAUCUGCAGCAUUUUCUCACUGAGUUCUCUCUCUCAAUAUCUCUCUCUCUCUCUGCCUGUGCCCUAUGUGGGCUGGGAGCCCCAGUACAGGUGUGAUUCCAGUACAUUCCAAGUCACACCGAGCACAUACUUUCUCCAUUCCUUUCAGUACCUGCCUUCCAGUGAUACUCCAAGUGUAUUGAGCUUGACAACUUCUUCAGCUAUAAAUAAGUGGUGGUGGGGGGAAGGGGUGGGUGUGAGAAGAGACUUUCUUGAAAUAUGUUGAUUUAGGCUGGAUGGCUUUUCAUUGACAUGCAGAGGUAGUAUUUUGUGUCUCUAUGCAAGACUCCCCCUUUAUUUACUGCAAGGAUGUUUUUAUCAGGUCAAGGAGAAAGCUGAGGUUGGAGAAGGUGUGCUUUCUGUUCCCUUUUGUCUGUCAGUUUCUCUCCUCAUUCUCCAGAAUCCCCAAGAGACCAUGUUAGAGUUAAAUCAGUAUGUGGCCAGCAAUCAGACAGACCUGAAUAUGACAUGUGAUUCUGCUACUUAUCAGCUGAAUGACCUUGUGAUGGCCAUUUGAAUGUCUAAUCUUUAGCUUCCUGAUCUACAAAAUGCAUCUCUCUUUUUUUCUCUUUCUCUCUCUCUCUCUUUAUCUGUCUGGGGCUAGCUCUGUACUUCACAACCUGGCUACACAUUAUAUUUACUUGGGGAGCUUUUCAAAAAUAGUUAAUUCCCAGGCUCUGCUCCAAAAGACUGAUUCAAUUGGACUAGGUUUCAGCACAAACAUCCGUCUAUUUUAGAAACUCUGUGUGAAAUACUAUGUGUAGUGAAUGUUAAGAACUGCUGAGCUUCUCUUAUUAAGCCUCUCUGGACCCCAUCUGGCCCCCAUGCUCAUUACCUGGAUGUCCCUGGACCACAACUGCUUAUGUAAAUACAAAAUACAAAACAAUUAACUGCUAACCACUGCUAACAGUCACUUUUUAACUCCAACCCUCCACCUGCUCAGAUUUGCAGGCAGUGCAGUCAUCUCUAACUUCUUGUCUUCAGGAACCCUUUCAUGGAAUGCCCAAGAACCCCUGUUGGUGCUCUGCAGAUGAGAAAAAUAGCUACUGAGAUCCUUGUUCCCUUGCUGAAGCUGGAAGGCCUCGUGGUCUGGAGAAAUGCCAGCUUUCUCAGUGGUUCAUCUGAGAACAGUGGAUGCUGGUCUUUCUCUGGGUAAUCCUUGGUCGAGAAUACUUUCUCCCCAAUUGGCCUGGGUUGUCAGGGAAGAGAGUAUUCAUCUGAGAAACUGCUUUGAUAUCAUCAUUUUACAGACAAGGAAACAGAAGCUUAGAAAUGGUAAGUUGAUCAGUGUCAUAAGAGGUAACCUGACCUGACCAUAAGACCUGACCGUAAGAGGUCAGGUCUUCCACUUCACCUAAGUGAAGCCAGGCUUCCCAAGGCACAGCUCAGCACCUGCAGAGCCACAUUGCAAUGAGUUACAGCACCAUCCACUUACUGCCUAGAAUCAGCAUUUUGUUCCAGAAACAUAGGUCCGGGUUGCCCAGACCACACUCUCUAUUCCUCUUGGUGAUUUUCUUUCAUUUCUUCCCACCACCUGGCCCCACGUGGGUCCACUCUUGUCCAUCAGAUGUGUUCUAAUAAAUAGUUAAAUACUAAACCCUCUUCUUCCAGAAGCAUCCUUGGUUCCUUCUACAUAUAUGUGUAGAUUCAUAUAUGUAAAAAAAAGUAUGAAAAAGGAUCUUUCAUCAAUUUACUUAUCAGCUUCUUCUAAACCCAUGCUGUUUACAAGCUGCAUAUCCAAUAAUAAAAAGUCCCUAUUCCAAAACCAGUGGGUAGGAAUGAAAUUACUUUACCCAGGUGUAACUCAAAGGGAUCACUGAGUGAUUAUUUCCAGAACAAUGGGACGACUUGCUCCAAAGGGCCUCAGUCUGUCACCCAUGCUGGAGUGCAGUGGUGGCGCCAUCUUGGCUCACUGCAACCUCUGCUUCCCAGGUUCAAGCUAUCCUCCUACCUUAGCCUCCUAAGUUGCUGGGA